rnacentral:rRNA from 1 species
UACGUAGGGGGCGAGCGUUGUCCGGAAUCAUUGGGCGUAAAGCGCGUGUAGGCGGCCCGAUAAGUCCGCUGUGAAAGUCCAGGGCUCAACCCUGGGAUGCCGGUGGAUACUGUCGGGCUCGAGUCCGGAAGAGGCGAGUGGAAUUCCUGGUGUAGCGGUGAAAUGCGCAGAUAUCAGGAGGAACACCAAUGGCGAAGGCAGCACUCUGGGACGUGACUGGCGCUGAGACGCGAAAGCGUGGGGAGCAAACAGG